rnacentral:rRNA from 1 species
GAUGAACGCUAGCGGCAGGCUUAACACAUGCAAGUCGAGGGGUAGAGGAAGCUUGCUUCCUUGAGACCGGCGCACGGGUGCGUAACGCGUAUGCAAUCUACCUUAUACAGGGGGAUAGCCCAGAGAAAUUUGGAUUAAUACCCCAUAGUAUAAUUGAAUGGCAUCAUUUAAUUAUUAAAGUUCCAACGGUAUAAGAUGAGCAUGCGUCCCAUUAGCUAGUUGGUGUGGUAACGGCACACCAAGGCGACGAUGGGUAGGGGUCCUGAGAGGGAGAUCCCCCACACUGGUACUGAGACACGGACCAGACUCCUACGGGAGGCAGCAGUGAGGAAUAUUGGUCAAUGGGCGCAAGCCUGAACCAGCCAUGCCGCGUGCAGGAUGACGGUCCUAUGGAUUGUAAACUGCUUUUGUACAGGAAGAAACACUCCCUCGUGAGGGAGCUUGACGGUACUGUAAAGAAUAAGGAUCGGCUAACUCGUGCCAGCAGCC